UCAUACCUACGGGAGGCAGCAGUAGGGAAUCUUUCACAAUGGGCGAAAGCCUGAUGGAGCAACGCCGCGUGCAGGAUGAAGGCCUUCGGGUUGUAAACUGCUUUUAUAAGCGAGAAAUAUGAUGGUAACUUAUGAAUAAGGAUCGGCUAACUACGUGCCAGCAGCCGCGGUCAUACGGAGGAUCCGAGCGUUAUCCGGAUUUAUUGGGUUUAAAGGGAGCGUAGGUGGAUUGUUAAGUCAGUUGUGAAAGUUUGCGGCUCAACCGUAAAAUUGCAGUUGAAACUGGCAGUCUUGAGUACAGUAGG
rnacentral:rRNA from 1 species